AAGUAAUAUAAUAUUUGUUGCUGCCUUAUAAUAAUUAUACAUGUAUUAGUUUGAAUAAAUCAUUUUAAUUAAGUUGCACUAUAGGCAGGAAUAAUUGACUGGAAAUAUAACCAAUGUUCUACAUAAUGCAGAUAGCUUAGGCAAAAAAGAGAUUGGUGAAAUGGAGAAUGAGUCUAACUACGGUGAAAAAAAUAAUGAAUAUCAAAAUGUGAAUGCUACUUUGUUUGAGAUCUACCUGUUUCUACAAAUACAGUGCAGUCGCACUUAUAAAUGGGCUUGAUGUUUUUUUGGAUUAAAUAUGUUGUAUUGAUGGUUCUUUUUAACUUGUUAAAACUUGAAUGAUUUUAUA